rnacentral:rRNA from 1 species
ACGGAAGGCAGCAGUGGGGAAUAUUGCACAAUGGGGGGAACCCUGAUGCAGCGACGCCGCGUGAAGGAAGAAGUAUCUCGGUAUGUAAACUUCUAUCAGCAGGGAAGAUAAUGACGGUACCUGACUAAGAAGCACCGGCUAAAUACGUGCCAGCAGCCGCGGUGAUACGUAUGGUGCAAGCGUUAUCCGGAUUUACUGGGUGUAAAGGGUGCGUAGGUGGCAUGGCAAGUCUGAAGUGAAAUGCGGGGGCUCAACCCCUGAACUGCUUUGGAAACUGUCAAGCUAGAGUGCAGGAGAGGAAAGCGGAAUUCCUAGUGUAGCGGUGAAAUGCGUAGAUAUUAGGAGGAACACCAGUGGCGAAGGCGGCUUUCUGGACUGUAACUGACACUGAGGCACGAAAGCGUGGGGAGCAAACAGGAUUAGAUACCCUGGUA